CAGAACUAACAGGNCCUUAUAGUAUGGCGAAUGAACAGGGAUAAGCUCAGCAUGGAAAUUGGGGCUGGCAGUUCCGACUUGUAAUCUUGUGAUGCAUUGCCAACAGAGGCGCAGAUGUAAGUCUCUUGGAAAAGAGCAUCAGCGAAGGUGAGAAUCCUGUUUGCCAUUUGCAGUCCCCUGUGCACGGUGUGAUUUCUGAGAGUCGCGCUCCUUGGGAUUGGAGCGCAAACUGGGUGGUAACUUUCAUCUGAAGCUAAACAUUGGUUUGGGACCGAUAGGAAACAAGUACCAUGAGGGAAAGGUGAAAAGGACUUUGGAAAGAGAGUUAAAAGUGCCUGAAAUUGCUGAAGGAGAAGCGAAUGGAACUAGUGGCGUUGGGUGAGAUUGUCACACAUCACAAUGAUUAGUUGUUGUGUCAGUGUAAGUGAUCUAUCAAUUAUUGAGAUGCAUAUGUGUGGUGUGUCUUUCCCUGUGUGUCAUUGUGGGUAUAUGCAUUAAUGCAAUGCAAAGUGCAUGGCAAUUUGUUUCCGGAUUUAUGAAUGUGUUUGCGAUGUUUAUGCAUAAACUUGCUUGUGUGUUUUUUUUUGGUUUGGCUGCAGCUCUCCCUCAAUCCAUUGUGGGUGUGGAUGAAAUGAGCAAUCUAUUGCACAGCCUUGACUAAAUGUC
rnacentral:rRNA from 1 species